UAUUUAAAGAUUAAAAAAUCACCCUAACAGCUUCAAUGUUAUACUCUUAUUAAGCUAUUUAAAU
rnacentral:tRNA from 1 species